rnacentral:rRNA from 1 species
CCUANGGGGGGCUGCAGCUACGAAAACUGCCCAAUGUGGGAAACCACGAGGCGGGCAUACCGAGUGCUAACGCAUUGCGUUUGCUGUUCUUUCGCCUAAAAAGCGAGAGAAGUAAGGGCCGGGUAAGACGGGUGCCAGCCGCCGCGGUAAUACCCGCGGCCCGAGUGGUGCUCAUUAUUAUUGAGCUUAAAGCGUCCGUAGCCGGCUUCGUAAAUCCUUGGGUAAAUCGGGCAGCUUAACUGUUCGAAUUCCGAGGAGACUGCGAGGCUCGGGACCGGGAGAGGUCAGAGGUACUCUCGGGGUAGGGGUAAAAUCCUGUAAUCCUGAGAGGACCACCAGUGGCGAAGGCGUCUGACUAGAACGGAUCCGACGGUGAGGGACGAAGCCCUGGGGCGCAAACGGGAUUAGAUACCCUANUANUC